rnacentral:misc_RNA from 1 species
CCGAGUUUUUUUACUCCAAACCCUGUGAACCUACCUAUAAAUGCUUCGGCGAUCGGCCCCGGGGGGCGCUAUACGGUCGCCGACAGUAUAUCCAAAAUCUCUUUACAGAGUCUUCUGAAUGAAAUAAAAAAAACAAUCA